GAUGAACGCUGGCGGCGUGCCUAAUACAUGCAAGUCGAGCGAACAGAUGAGGAGCUUGCUCCUCUGACGUUAGCGGCGGACGGGUGAGUAACACGUGGAUAACCUACCUAUAAGACUGGGAUAACUUCGGGAAACCGGAGCUAAUACCGGAUAAUAUAUUGAACCGCAUGGUUCAAUAGUGAAAGACGGUUUUGCUGUCACUUAUAGAUGGAUCCGCGCCGCAUUAGCUAGUUGGUAAGGUAACGGCUUACCAAGGCAACGAUGCGUAGCCGACCUGAGAGGGUGAUCGGCCACACUGGAACUGAGACACAGUCCAGACUCCUACGGGAGGCAGCAGUAGGGAAUCUUCCGCAAUGGGCGAAAGCUUGACGGAGCAACGCCGCGUGAGUGAUGAAGGUCUUCGGAUCGUAAAACUCUGUUAUUAGGGAAGAACAAAUGUGUAAGUAACUAUGCACGUCUUGACGGUACCUAAUCAGAAAGCCACGGCUAACUACGU
rnacentral:rRNA from 1 species